UUCGGGGUACAUAUCUCGAAACAAACAUGGCUGCCUCCACGAAUAUGCUGUUGGUGCUGUUGUCUGGGCACAAAAAAACUCAUGGAAAGAUUAAUUGACAUCAAAAACCAAACCGAAGAGGAAGAACGGCGAAAAAGGCUGCAGUAGCCUGUGCUAUCCCCCGUUUAGCUCAUCGGGUGGUAGUUGUGAAGACGGACUUGGAAUGGGAAUGAAUGUUGAGCAUGGACACGAAUGCAAUUUUUAGCCAUCUGAGAGUGACCAAAAUUCAGUGUGAAUACCUUCAUCUGAAGCUACAGAAACAGGGGCUAACUGAGGGCUUCCACCUGUUCCUGUAAGACAGGAGGUCUUGAUGUUCUUGUGGUAUAUGGCAAACCACAACAGUUUCAAAGAGAUUUCUGAGAAGUUUAACAUUUCACAGUCAACAGCACACAAGGCUGUGACUGAUGUCCAUCAGCUCUUCGCUACUCUUGGGCCCCUCUUUAUCUCCUGGCCAACUUCAUGUGAGAAGAAAGCAUCAUCAGCUGCUUUCCACAGGCUGUGCGGUAUCAAUGGAAUUAUUGGAGCCAUUGAUGGGUGUCACAUAAGAAUCCAGAGGCCAAAGAUCAGAGGAGGUGACUAUAUGAACGGGAAGUAAUUUUAUUGACAUUUCACAGACAUUUUUGUAGGUCCACCUGGAAGGGUGCAUGAUACAAGAAUGCUGAGGGCCUCUUACUUGGAGUUAAAGUUCUACGGUUUCUACGGUUGGAUCUAUGGUUUUUGUCUUUUUUCCUUCUGUAUUUCAUAAAGAAUAUUAAAAUACUUUCACCAGUCUGAUUCGCAAUAGAGCCCUCCUUAUUCCCGCAACCCUCAUCCCUGACACACGGUGUCCCUGAUUUCCAAAAAGGAUUUCAAAUUUAGAUUCGACUGACCAAAGAACAGUUUUCCACUUAGCCACAGACCAUUUUAAACGAGCUACUGGAUCAUGUUCAAAUGUGGCUUCUUGAAUGAGAGAGUUUUAACUGGCAUCCGCGGAUGGUAGGACAAAUUGUGUUAAAUGACCAUGUAUUUUGGAAAUAUUCCUGAAGCCAUUUAGUGAUUUCCAUUACAUUUCCUGUUUGUGAUGCAGUGCCGUGUAAAGACCCAAAGAUCACAAAAAGGCCUACAAUGUGAUCUACUUUGAUUUCCAGAGGGCCUUUGUUGUUCCCCACAAACAGCUCUUGCUUACGCUCAAAGUUGAAGGGAUUUUUGGAACUGUAGCAGCUUGGAUUGAAAACUGGUUAACAGACAGGAAGCAGCGAGUAGUUAUUAGAGGCUCCCUCCUGGAGCCGAGACCUUAUCGUGGUGGAGGGGUUUGUGUGCCAGGCCAGGGGGUGGGGCUCGAUGGUGAGCGCCUGGUGGCCAAGCCUGCACCCAUGGGGCCUGGUCGGGCACAGCCUGAAGACAGCACGUAGGUCCCCCAUCCAAUGGGCCCUCCACCUGUAGGGGGGGCCAAAGGGGUCGGGUGCAGUUCAAGUUGGGCAGUGGCCGAAGGCGGGGACCUUGGCGGUCUGAUCCUCGGCUGCAGAAGCUAGCUCUAGGGACAUGGAAUGUGACUAUUGUUCCUAAUUUACAUUAAUGAUAUUGACAUUGAUACAUACAGUAAACUGGUUAAAUUUGCAGAUGACACCAAGGUGGGUGGUGUAGCAGAUAGUGAUCUAGCAGCACAAAAGCUACAAUGGGAUCUUGAUUUAAUUAGUGACUGGGCUGAUACCUGGCAAAUGAAGUUUAACAUAGAUAAAUGUAAGGUAAUCCAUGUACGGACCAGAAAUAUAAAGUACAGAUAUGUUGAUGCGUCCAUAUCCCACUCUUACCAGUGUGGGGAAGCAAUUAAAAAGGCCAAUGGGAUGUUGGGUUACAUCUCUAGGUAUGUGGAGUUUAAGUCAAGGGAGGUGAUGCUAAGAUUAUAUAAUCUCUUGAUAAGACCCCACCUAGAAUAUUGUGUGCAGGUUUGGUCACCAUACCUUAAGAAGGACAUUGCUGCCUUAGAAAGGGUGCAACAUAGGGCUACAAGAAUGAUUCCUGGUCUUAGAGGAAUGUCUUAUGAGGAGAGGUUAGCUGAGCUGAAUCUGUUUAUCUUCGAACAAAGGAGAAUAAGGGGAGACAUGAUCCAGCUACCAGGGUUCAAGUCUCCGCCUGGGUUACAUGUGUGUGGAGUUUACAUGUUCUCCUCAUGUCGUCGUGGGGUUUCCUCUGGGUACUCUGGUUUCCCCCCAUAGUCCAAAAACAUGCUGAGGCUAAUUGGAGUUGCCAAAUUGCCUGUAGGUGUGCAUGUGUGAGUGGAUGGUAUGUGAGUGUACCCUCCGAUGGGCUGCCCCCCCAUCCUGGGUUGUUCCCUGCCUCGUGCCCAUUGCUUCUGGGAUAGGCUCCGGACCCCCUGCGACCCAGUAGGAUAAGCGGUUUGGAAAAUGGAUUGAUGGAUGGAUGAUCCAGGUAUACAAGAUUCUAACAGGUUUGGAUGCUGUUCAGCAAAAUGGUUAUUUCAAUAUUAGUUUAAAUGCUAGCACUCGUGGUAGUUAUAGUAUUUUAAAAUGAAUUUGAGAAAGCACUUCUUUACACAGCAUGUAAUUAGAGUAUGGAAUAGUCCUCCUGCUAGUGUAGCGCAAGCUAAAAUCCUAGGUUCCUUCAAAUCAGAGCUAGAUAACUGAGCUAUUAGUUGAGUUCUCCCCAAACAAGGUUGAUGGGCCAAAUGGCCUCCUCUCAAUUGUAAAUUUCUUAUGUUCUUAUUUGUCUACACAGUAUUAGGGGGAUUGUGAUCCUCUGCCCAUCUUUACUUCUAAGAGACACUGCAGUUCUAAGAUGCUCUUUUUAUACCUUAUCAUGUUACUGACUUUUUGCCAAUUGACCUAAUUAGUUCCAUAUUGUUCCUCCAGCUUUUUAUACCACUAACUUUUCCAUCCUCUUUUUGCCCGUCCCAACUUUGACACGUGUCAUGAAAUUCAAAAUGAGCCAGUAUUUUUCAUGAACUAGCAUAAUGUCUGUUUAAACAUUUCAUGUUUUUGAAUAAAAUAUGAAUUUGAGAUUUCCAUUA